AAAGAGGGUCACAUGGCCUGGGUGUGUAAAAUCCCACGGCCAUGUUAACAUGGUACGCUUGGAGCGGUGUUGUUUAGAAGAUUAACCGCCUGACCAUGUAAAAUGCUACGGACAUAUUAACAUAGGUUGAUACAAAACUUUGCUGUCCAAAAAGUUAUACGACUUCGCCAUGUAAAGUCUAAUAAUCGUUAUGAAGAAAAAAAAUUCUAACAAUUGUGUUAAUAAUUUAU
rnacentral:misc_RNA from 1 species